AUCUCAUAAUGUUUCAAAAACAUAUGACUAGAUCCUGCAGGUUUGUAUAUGAAAAGAAAGGAAUAUUAAAGUAGCUCAAGUUGUGAUUUCUUUUCCUAAUUUAUUCCAAGAUAGCUUUAGAUCAUAAUUAUGUUAUGUUGGUUUUUAAAGUAAACAUGUCUUUUUCAGAGCUGGUCGCUAUGAAGUGGAUGGAUAUGUAUAUGAUGCUGCUGAACAACCCAAGAUAUUGAUGACUGGGAAAUGGAAUGAAUCAAUGAGUUACCAGCCCUGCGACUCAGAGGGGGAGCCACUUCCAGGCACCGAAUUGAAGGAGGUCAGUUUGGUUAUUUUGAGUUUCUUUGGUUGUUUGUACCCUCUUUUGGCCAAGUUUUAUAGUGUUAAAUCAUCAGACUGAGAAACUCUUUUUUUUUCCUUAAUUAAGCUAAUUUGAAAUGUUUUGCAGGUUUGGAGAGUGGCUGAUGCUCCUGAAGAUGACAAAUACCAGUACACAUAUUUUACGCACAAGUUAAACAGCUUUGACACUGCUCCUAAGAAGUUGUUGCCAUCAGAUUCUCGUUUACGUCCUGAUAGAUAUGCACUGGAGAAGGGUGACCUUUCCAAAGCUGGUUCCGAGAAGAGCAGGUCUCUCUCUCUCUCUCUCACGCACACACGCGCGCGUACACACACACACAGACACACACACACGCACGCACUAAAUUUAUCUUCAUAAAGAGAAAGGUCUCUAAUAUGGCAAAAUUGAUUCCUUUUUCACAUUUGAUUUAAGAAUAAUGAAAGAACUUGUGUCUUUAUUUUGUUGAUGCUGUUAUAGAUUGGAGGAGAGACAGAGAGCUGAAAAAAGAAUCCGUGAGGCCAAAGAUGAUAUGUUUACUCCAAAAUGGUUUGACCUUAGUGAUGAAGUCACCCCUACUCCUUGGGGUGACUUGGAAGUGUACCGGUACAAUGGCAAGUAUUCUGAACUUCGGGCUACUCUAGAUAAUUCAGAAAGCCUUGGAGAGAUUAACCCUGAGACAACCGAGUUCAACCCGUGGCAAUAUGAAGACUCGGCUGCUGAAUGAGUAAAUCACGCAAUGAUUUCCUAUGAUGUAUUUUAUGCAUUAUUUGAUUCUUUAUGCAGUAUUAUUGUUAUUGUGUUAC
rnacentral:lncRNA from 1 species